CUCUCUUUCUCUCUGUGUGUGUGUGUGUAUUAAAAACAAAACAAAAACAGGAGACAAAAUCAGUCUUGCAGAGCUGAGAAGGGAUAUAUGUCACAAUGAGAAAUUAACUGUCAUCUAAGUAAAAUUAAAUCAAUAAAAUAAUUAUUAAAACUAAAACUUCUUCUUUUGAAAAAGAAAGUUUAAAAAUAUUGAAAAGGAAAGUCACACAUUGGAAGAAAAUAUGCUGAAACAGAUAUCUAAAAAAAGACUUUAAUCCAGAAUGUAUAGAAAACUCUUACAACUCAAUAGUAUGACAGAUAACCAGUAAAAACAAGACAAUAAAUUUGAACACAUUUCUCGAAGAUGUAUGAAUGACCCAUAAUCAAAUGAACUGAGAGAUGCUCAAUAUUAUAAAUCAUUAGAGCAAUUCAAAUUAAAACCACAGUGAGUGCCGGGGUUGUAGCUCGGUGGUAGUGCACUUGCCUAGCAAUGUGAGGCACUGGGUUCAAUCCUCAGCACCACAUAUAAAUACAUACAUACAUACAUACAUACAUGAACUACUACUGUGUACCCCCUAAACUUAUAAAGUUUAACAAAAAUAAAAACCAAACCACCAAAUGUUGGUCAGAUUGUGGAUUCACUAGAGAUUAUUCAUAUAUUACUGAUUGGAAUGUAAAAUUGUAUAAUCACUUUGAAAACAGUUUAGUAAAUAAAAUAAAAUAAAAUAAACUUAGACAAACAUUACCAUAUGACCCAGUAAUUUUACUUCUAGGUACUUACCCCAAAUAAUUUAAAAAUAUGUAUUCACACCAAGAAUUACAUAAGAAUUCUCACAGCAGCUUUAUUCAUAAUAGCCUCACACUAUUAAUAACCCAAAUGUCCUUCAACAGAUGAAAUGAUAAAUGUGGUAUGUGAAUUCAAUAGAGUA
rnacentral:lncRNA from 1 species